rnacentral:lncRNA from 1 species
UUUAUCACUAUUAUUUCUUUAAGUAUUUUUAUAUUUUAUCUAAUUUAUCCUAGUAUUAAUAAAAUAAUUAUUGUUUUUUUAUGAAACUACAGAUGUGCCGAGACCAAAAAAAAUAUCAAAGAAACAAAGCAAAACAAGUGGCACCAGCCACAUGAAUACAAGGCGCCAGCCAUGUAUUUAAGGGACACAAAUUUUGUGCUAGCCACAAGAUUUAAGGUGCUAGCCACAAGAUUUAAAGUGCCGGCCGUGAGAUUUAAGGUGCCAGCCGUGAAAUUUAAGGCGCCAGUCACACAAUUCUGUUACACAAAAUAUGGCGCCAGCCUUGAAAAUUGUGGCGCCAGUCACCUAUUUUAAAGGGACACGUGCAAAAUUUAAACAACACAUGGCGCCGGUCGUGAGCUAUUCUUCAGCAAAAAUAUCAGUCUCAUCUUAUCAAG